AGAGAAAACCCCUUGAGCAAUGUUUUCUCUGAUGAUGUUGAUUUUGAUGAGGCAGCCUUAUGCUUUGAAAUGCGGCUUACUAGAGCGGUGGAUUUAUCUCCACUAAUACUUGAGUUAGAUUCAUUUAAUUUUGAAUUGACAUAAUACUUGUACUGAGGGUCUGAGUCAUUCUGACUUAUUUCUUAAGUGAAGCAUUUACUCUCUCUAAAGCAUUCUUUCAGGUUAGACAUAUCUAAGGAGUUCGUAAUACAGCAGCGGAUUUAUUAGCAUUCUAUCAAUUGUUUAGUUUCUUAUGUUUAGUCGGAAGGAUUUCCACCGUAUCUAUAUUGUUGUCUUUAAGACUAAUAGUCCUGAUGUUACAAAUAAUGUAAUAAAUGAAGUCAAAUUCCUCCACCUGUCGUCUGGCCAGUUGGGUGGGGUUUGAUAAUUAAUCAGUCAUCAGUUACAGACUCACUGUACGAGUAGUCAAUUUUUUUUGUUAACAAGAAUAUGGAUGUAAAAGAUCAAUACCCCACCAAAAUCAAUUUACAAACAAACAAUUAAUUACACUACCACGUGUUGCUAUUUUAUCAAGUUAUCGACCCUAACAAAUUACAUUUCAUAUAUUUUACAUCUGCUCACAUGAAAAUGUGUCAUGCAGGGUUUAUUCACUAUUUAAAUGAGUGGGUGUAUUUUUAAAACUAAAACCUACUAACACAUCAAAACAAAACUUGAGCCUUUUUUAUUUAUAAUCGAUUCUAGUGACUUGCACCGCUUGUAUAAAAAUAAAAUAAUGUAAUUAUCCAAUAAUUUUCAGCGUCUUAUCUGUACAGCUAGUUUGCCCAAUCAUCCCAACGGCAACUUCCUAAUUUAAUUUAUUCCUCCCAUUAUUUAUGGACUUGAUUUCAUUAGAAACUCCAAUAGUCAAAGUUGUUGUAAUCUGUAUGUAAAUAUAAUUAUAUUUAGGGUGAGAAUCAACCACAGGAAUUUAUUAUUAAAUACAUUAAGGAAUAACAGACUCCUCCUAAAGAUAAUACCACCAUUACUGAAAAUCAACAACUAAAUCCAGCUAAAUUCGGCACUUAUUAAAAUAACAAAAUACUAGCUAACAGAACUUGACUAAGUCUUAACUUGCACGUGCAUAAGCUGACCACUCCAGUAAAUCCACUAAAUCCUCAACGGCUCCAUGCAUUCUUGACUCGUUCUUUUAGAUAGUGAACUUGUAAUUCUUGAUAGGCAUACGUUGCGACCUUCUUGGCUUAUUAGUUGGGACCCAAUGCGGUCACCGGAUACCGGAUAGCUUACACAAAAAAAAAAAUAAAAUAAGGCUGGUGAAAAUUAGUUUAAAAAAUAAUCAUUAUUAUCUCUCAAUGAUUUUGUUUUUUUUGGUAGGUGUUAAUUUUUGGAUUUGUCGACUCAACGUUUCGUUAUCUUAUCCUCUUAUAAAUUAGUUCUCACAAAAAAAGGAUUUAAUUUAAGUUAUUAUAUUAAAAACACCAUUUUUAUUCUGCUUAGAUAAAAGAUAAUCAUUGACUUUUUUUAAUAAAUUAAUAAUAACGAUGCACAUUAAUCACUUGAAUUUUGAGUUUGGAGAAGGGGGAAUAGGGUAUAUGCGGCAUACGUACGACGUACACACACGAGAUCAGUGCCUAAUUUCAAAUAACAAGGAAAAUUAAUAAUAAAUUAAGAAAAAGAGGUGGGUAAUCAUUAGUAUCUCAUGUUUCAAGUUUCAACCCCCGUACAGUCCCUUUUUCAGAUUUAAUUAGUUAUUUUCAAUUAAAUAAAUGGUUUUGAUGAUGUCAUCAAUACGCAAUAUGGCUGGUGCGUGGGCACAAUGUAUAAUUACGAGAAUGAAUGAAAAAAUAAAUAAAAUAAACAACGUAAACGUGAAAAAAUUAUUUUCGGGGGAGAAAAAGUGAAAAACUUACAAGGGACUUCACUUCAUGACGGGAGGCCCUUCGAGUUAUCACUAGGGUUGGCAAAAAAAUUCGGCCCAGUGUAGAUUUGUGGGUUUAGGCCCGGCCCUCACUCAUGAGGGUUUGGAUAAGAGCCCAAGAAAAAAAAUAUGGACAAAGUCAAAGCUCACUGUUUUUU
rnacentral:lncRNA from 1 species